rnacentral:rRNA from 1 species
CCCUUAGAUGUCAUGGGCCGCACGCGCGCUACACUGAGUGUCUGAGAUACGAGUCUGCCUGGUCCGGCAAGGUCUAGGUAAUCGCUAAAAGACACAUCAUGCUUGGGAUAGAUUAUUGCAAAUAUUAAUCUUGAACGAGGAAUUCCCAGUAAGCGCAAGUCAACAGCUUGCGUUGAUUACGUCCCUGCCCUUUGUACACACCGCCCGUCGCUACUACUGAUUGGAUGUUUAAGCGAGGUUCUCGAACUGCUAGCGACUUAGCUUCGGUGAGGUCGCAGUGUGGGAAGUGAACCUAGCUUUGGUGUCUAGAGGAAGUAAAAGUCGUAACA